AAAGGAUUAGUUAACUAUAUAACAUCAGAAUGUCAAACUGAAAUAAUCUAAAAGAUAUCCUUUU
rnacentral:tRNA from 1 species